ensembl:lncRNA
AGAGUUAGCAGGCUCUUUCUCUUCUCAGCAGCUCAGUUCAGACCUCCAGUCUCCCCCCUCCCAAAUUAUUUCAUUGAAGAAGGCAAAUUUUUCAAGAACUCUCUCUCUCCUUAAUUGAAAAACCCAGCGCUGGAUGUUAUUGUCCUUCCUUUGCCAGGCAUCAUCGCCCACAAAAGCUUCCCAUAUGUGUCAGCAGGGGGUGCUGUGCCCCCAGAUACCGGACUGCAGCCAAGCCGCCACUGAAAAGGAUAAUGGAAGACUUUAUUUCAACUGGACCUUCUCUCCCGCACUCCCGCCCUUUCCCCUCAAUCUCCCCCCCUCCCUUCCCCAAAGCAGUGGCUGCGGGUAUUAGCGCAGCUGCUUCCCAGGCUCAGGUCGAGCCUUUCAGUAAGUAUAGAGACAUUCAGGCAUCUGUGCCCCAGUGAGGGAGGGCGGGAAGCUUUCUCCGGUUGACCUUGGGGCUAAACAGGAGAGGGAAAGCCGGAGAGCCAAACUAGUGGGGAGGACAAAGAGGUCGAAGGCUUUCUUCUAAGAUUAAGGCAAAUCUCUUUCACCUUGAUGGGUUCCUUUUAGCAAAGAAAUGAAAUUGCACCAGGACUGGAAUCAGAGGAUCUGGGUGGGAAUACCAGAUGUCCAUACUUACCACUACAGAUGGACUUGGACAAGUCGCUUAACUUCUGGGCCUCAGUUUCCUUAAUGCCAAAUUUCUGCUACCUCUAUGGAAUGUCGAUUUGGGCUCUUCUAGUCUUGUUUGGAGUGAAUGAAUAAAUGGAAGGAAAGAAAGAAGAAGGAAGGGAGGAAGAAAGGAAGAAAGAUCAGAAAGGAAAAAAGGAGAGAAGGAAGAAUGAAAGAAAGGAAGGAAAGGAAAUAAAGGAGGUAAGGAGGAAAAAAUAAGGGACAGAGAGAGGAAAAGAAAGAAAAGAGAGAAGCAAGAAAUAAUGAAAGGAAGGGAGGAAAGAAAGAAGAAAGAAGGAAGAAAUAAGGGGCAAAGAGAGAGGAAAAAGAAGAGAAAAAAGAAAGAAAAGAGAAUGAAGGAAGGAAAGAAAGAAGAAAGGGAAAAGAGGGAGAGAGAGAAAAGAAGGAAGGAAAGAAAGAAGAAAGGGAAGGAAGGAGGAAAGAAGGAAGAGACAGAGGAAGGAAGACAGAAAGAGGGAGGGGAUAGAGAGAGAAGGAAGGAAGAGAGAAGCAGAAAAGAAAAGAGAGACAGGGGGAGAGAAAGGGAAGGAAGAGAGGAAGGGGGAGGGAGGGAGAGAGAAGAAGAAAGGAAGGAAGAGAGAGAGAGAAGGAAAGAAAGAAGAAAAGAAAGUUUCCAGAGUAGUCAAGAUAACCACUUAUCAAGGAAUGUUAUAGAGGGGAUGGCUAUAUGCAAAUAGUGAAGUGAUGGAGGACUGGGCUUGGAGUCAGAAAGAACUGAAUUCAAAUCCUACUCUAGAUACUUAUUUGCUCUGGGACCCUGGGCAAAUCAUUUAACCUCUGCCUGCCUCAGUUUCCCCACUGGCAAAAUGGGGAUAAUAGUAUCUACCUCACACAGCAAGAUAGAGCAACAAUUUGAUGAGUAUACUUAAAGCAUGUUGCAUACCCCUGAGUGCUACAUAAAUGCUAGCUCUUCUCGAAGGUUGGACUCCCUGACAUCUGAGGUCUGAACUAGCUCUAAAAUAUUUUGAGUCUACAAUCUAUGUCCCUUCCUACAGAUGGUACAACAGCUUGGCCAUGGAUAAGGUCACAAGGUAAGGUGAAAGCCUCAGACUAUUUCUUUCUUCCUUGGGAUAUAGGCAAAUAGACUGUCCAUGAUGCAAAUGGUCCUUUUCGGUCAGAUUACAUAUAAUCAUCUUGGAAAAGCAACACUAUAAUUGUGCUGAUUGUCCAAAGUCACACCCCUUCUGGGAAAGGAGAGCUGCUAUUGAAGUGCAUACCUCAUUGAAGGUCCUGCUAGGAUAGGCUAAUAGCACAAAUUGUUAGUAGGUACCAACACCCCUCCAGGACACCCUGCAUUGAAGGGGGCUCCUAGGACAGGAAGGGAAAAGCCCUCCCCAGAGAAGCCUAGUUUCUCAUUUGUCGUCAAAGGGCUCUUUCUGAAAUCCUGACGGGGGAGCUUGAGCAGACUAAAUUUUUCUCAUUGUUCUCCUGAUUCAAAAGACAGGUUGGCAAGUAGAGAAGUAACUCCAUCAUUGGUAACAUUGGAGACAGAUUAGAAACCUGGGCCGAUGAAUAAUACCCUUGGCUUUCUGGGACUGUAAUUCUGCCCACCAUUUCAGCAUUUCCCCUUCCCACAGGGCUCUUUGGACUUUGCUACCACCUUUUUUCCCCUCCCUAAAAAGAGCAGGCUGCCCACAUCUCAGCCGCAGCAGAAGCCAGAGCCAGACACCGUGCAGCCCCAAAAUUACAGCAGGAAGCUGGGCCAGGCAGAUCACAGCAUGAGGAGCAGCAGGAAGGAACAAGGGAACACCUGGGAAGUAAAACACCUGGGGGGGUUGGCAGGAGGAGAGCUAUAAGUACCAAUGACGGAGCCACCUCUGGGCUUUUGACUGUGCAAGGAGAAAGAUGGAGAAAGGAGACCAAGGCCAAGACUGACGUCAAGUCACAAGGAGCUUGCAAGAAGCCCAGGAAAUCCUAGCCCAAUCUUAGCCAUCGCGUCUAUGGCCAAGCAAGAGAGCACCUGGAAGAAACGAAGAGGAAGAGUUACCAAUUGGGCUGUUAAAUGAGAUGAUGGCUGGGGAGGAAAGAUUUGCGGGGAGGAAUAAUAACAGACUAGAACAAGAUGGCAGGCUCUACCCAAGAACUGGGCUCUCUGAAAACCAAUAGGAGCCAGAUAGAAAGCCAUGACUCUGCGAGACCAGGAGAAACUGGAAAGCAAAUGCCGCUCCUUAAAAUGGCCUUCAAUGGUGCUCUCUGGACCAUUGGGGCAUUGGCCCGGCUUAGCUAAGGAUCCCAGAACCCUCUGACCUUCACCGCUCAGGCCUCCCAUUGGCCCUCCAGCUGUGGUGAGCAUCCUCAGAGCAAGGGUCACCUGGGGGCAACUUUUCUUCCCUUCCACUGAAAUAUGGAGGCCCUGCCAGCAUCUGAUGAUGAAUAUUUAUGGGCAGCCUGCAGUGUUGAGGCCUGCAUGGCAACUGGGACCUUUGGAAAGGAAGCAUGCAGUGAUUUGAAAACCCCAAAUUACUUAAUAAAAAGCGACAGACCCAUCA